GACGUCGACAUUCGACGUCAUAAACACCAUCAAGUUUGGUGUUUAUGACGUCGAUAUUCGACGUCAUAAACACCAUCAAGUUUGGUGUUUAUGACGUCGAUAUUCGACGUCAUAAACACGAUCAAAUUUGGUGUUUAUGACGUCGAUAUUCGACGUC
rnacentral:miRNA from 1 species